rnacentral:rRNA from 1 species
AACGAACGCUGGCGGCAGGCUUAACACAUGCAAGUCGAACGCCCCGCAAGGGGAGUGGCAGACGGGUGAGUAACGCGUGGGAAUCUACCUAGUUCUACGGAACAACACAGGGAAACUUGUGCUAAUACCGUAUACGCCCUACGGGGGAAAGAUUUAUCGGAAUUAGAUGAGCCCGCGUAAGAUUAGCUAGUUGGUGGGGUAAUGGCCUACCAAGGCGACGAUCUUUAGCUGGUCUGAGAGGAUGAUCAGCCACACUGGGACUGAGACACGGCCCAGACUCCUACGGAAGGCAGCAGUGGGGAAUAUUGGACACUGGGCGCAAGCCUGAUCCAGCCAUGCCGCGUGAGUGAUGAAGGCCUUAGGGUUGUAAAGCUCUUUCAGUGGGGAAGAUAAUGACGGUACCCACAGAAGAAGCCCCGGCUAACUUCGUGCCAGCCGCCGCCGUAAAAC